UACGGAGGGUGCGAGCGUUGUUCGGAAUUACUGGGCGUAAAGCGUGCGUAGACGGUUAUGUAAGUCGGGUGUGAAAGCCCCGGGCUCAACCUGGGAAUUGCAUUCGAGACUGCAUAGCUAGGAUGCGGAAGAGGGAAGCGGAAUUUCCGGUGUAGCGGUGAAAUGCGUAGGUAUCGGAAGGAACAUCAGUGGCGAAAGCGGCUUCCUGGUCCAGCAUCGACGUUCAGGCACGAAAGCGUGGGGAGCAAACAGG
rnacentral:rRNA from 1 species